rnacentral:lncRNA from 1 species
CAAUUUCCCCCUGCGGGCGUCGAUAAUCCCCAGCCUGAUGCCAGGGUCCGGCCCCGUCCAGAACUUCCUCCCAAGUCCACUUCUCCCGCCAGUCCAACUCGAACUCCGUCUGCUCCUUCCUCUGCUGCUUGGUCCUUUGGUGGUGGGUGAUUCUGUCACGGUUGUUGUCGGUGAAUGAGGACCAAAACGCAGCAGGACCUGAGCCCUAGGACCAUGCCUCAGGACUACCUGGUAUGAUGACUCCUUGCUGUCCCCAGUCCACCUGGCCGUGCUGCUGCUCCAGUUUCAACUGUUCUGCCUGCGGCUAUGGAACCCUGACCUGUUCACCGGACGUGCUUGUUGCACCCUCGACAACUACUAUGAUUAUUAUUAUUUGACCAUGUUGGUCAUUUAUGAACAUUUUAACAUUUUAACAUCUUGACCAUGUUCUUUUUUCCUAGCCACCGUGCUUCUUUCACAUGCUUUGCUUGCUGUUUGGGGUUUUAGGCUGGGUUUCUGUACAGCACUUUGAGAAUAUCAGCUGAUGUACGAAGGGCUAUAUAAAUACAUUUGAUUUGAUUUGAUUUUGAUCCAGGAUCUCCGUAUCAGGCGGUGUGAAGGCCCGUAAAAUUAUUAAAAGACUCUUAAGACUCA